rnacentral:rRNA from 1 species
GUGGGGAAUAUUGGACAAUGGGCGCAAGCCUGAUCCAGCAAUGCCGCGUGGGUGAAGAAGGCCUUCGGGUUGUAAAGCCCUUUUGUACGGGAAGAAAUCAUUUGGGUUAAUACCCUGGGUGGAUGACGGUACCGUAAGAAUAAGCACCGGCUAACUUCGUGCCAGCAGCCGCGGUAAUACGAAGGGUGCAAGCGUUAAUCGGAAUUACUGGGCGUAAAGCGUGCGUAGGUGGUUGUUCAAGUCUGUCGUGAAAGCCCUGGGCUCAACCUGGGAAUGGCGAUGGAAACUGGGCGACUAGAGUGCGGUAGAGGAUGGCGGAAUUCCCGGUGUAGCGGUGAAAUGCGUAGAGAUCGGGAGGAACAUCCGUGGCGAAGGCGGCCAUCUGGACUGAUACUGACACUGAGGUGCGAAAGCGUGGGGAGCAAACAGGAUUUGAAACCCUUGUAGUCC